rnacentral:rRNA from 1 species
UAUUUAACAGCUAGCUUAAUUAACCGACACAACACAUUAUUAACUCACUCAACACUAAUUAUAUAAACUAAAAGAUUCUAGCCCCCAGUAAAG